UCUCCCAUACCUGUCUCUCUCUGUCUCCCAUACCUGUCUCUCUCUUUCUCCUCCAUCCCUGUCUCUCUCUGUCUCCCAUCCCUGUCUCUCUCUGUCUCCCAUCCCUGUCUCUCUCUUUCUCCUCCAUCCCUGUCUCUCUCUGUCUCCCAUGCCUGUCUCUCUCUGUCUCCCAUCCCUGUCUCUCUCUUUCUCCUCCAUCCCUGUCUCUCUCUGUCUCCCAUACCUGUCUCUCUCUGUCUCCCAUCCCUGUCUCUCUCUGUCUCCCAUACCUGUCUCUCUCUGUCUCCCAUCCCUGUCUCUCUCUUUCUCCUCUAUCCCUGUCUCUCUCUGUCUCCUAUCGUUGACUCUCUCUGCCAACCACCCACCUCUCUCUCUUCGCUGUCCCCAUCCCCUUCUCUCCCUCUCUCUCCCCACCCUAUCUCUCUAUCUCGUUCCUCUUCUUUCUUCACUGUUCCCUGUCUUUUUCUCCACCAUUACUGUCUUUCCUCAUUUCCAUCUCCCCCACCCUCUCUCUCUUCUCGUCCUCGUCCUCUAGUUAGCCUCCCUUUUCUCUUUACUCUCCCCAUUUUUCCAUUUCUAGCUGCCUCGCUUCCUCACCAUUACUCAUCAGUCUUUGCCUCUUUUCCCUCAAGUUCUCUUUGUCCUCCUUCUGGAGCCUCACUGGCUACACCUCGUUCCUGUGUGUGGACCAGGCACUAUUGCUUGCAGUAAAGUUCCUCAUUUUUAUCAAAGAUCAACAGUCUUUGACGUUGAUGUGAUAACUUGGUACAUUUACUUUUCAUUGCAUUAAAUGUUGCAUUUCCAGCACCUGCAUUUCAUGCCUGAAGUUCUGCUAUGGUUAUCUGGCGAUGACUUGUUGCGUGUUCAUUGCCUAUUGGGUUUGCGCUGACACAAAAUGGCGUGUUGUGGAAAUAUAGUCCUUUUAGUGCCCCUCUUAACAAUAUUGCAUCCACAGUAAACUGCUGUCCAUAGGAAUGCGGCGUCGUGAUGAGUGCUGAAUAACCCCUCAUCAUUCCUGCAUGCGUGUCGCUGUAAUAACCUGCAGGGCUGCAGUAGAGAUACAGCGACUGUCAGCCGUAGGAGGCUGCUGCUGGCCCCCAGUCCCUCUGGAGUUUGCUGCUCUGUCUCUUUAAGAAACCCCUUUCUGGCUCACUAAAACAUAGCAUGCGAGUUAAAGCUGCGACUUCCCAUUCUUAUUCAGGACGAUUCAUUAGAAGCACAGGAUCGCUACUUUUAUUAAGCUAUUUCAAUGAUAUUUAACAGAUAUUUUGGUCGAAGAGGUGAAAUCACAGCUUUCAUCGCUGUUUUUACAUUCAGAGAGUUUCGCAGUAUUAAGUUCUGCUUUAAACCAUCGUUUUGCUUAUUGCUCUUGCUGCUGUUGGUUCUGCUUUUACCGUUUUUACCUGAAUAACAGUAUCUUUCAUCAUUUAAUUAGAAGAAUUAAAGGAAAUAUUGCAUAUUUUCUUCUCCUAAUUGACUGUCCUGUUCAUCAGUAGCCCACAACUAUUUUCUAAAAUUGUGCAGCGUGCAAGAAUACUAGUGCAGGCUAUCCCAGUUUUUUCACUAUGUUUACAGAGGGACAUAAAUGGGGUUCUGAAGCUUUUUUACAAAUCCACUGGCAUUCAUAUUCUCUUCAUAUAUUUUUUUAUUUCUACAGUACAGAAAUUUGAGACCCACAUCUAAUCAUCUUCACUGCAGACUGGAGUUUUCCUGGGGUUAUCUGGCCGGAUAGAGAAAAUAAAAAUGGGUGAAUGGGCUAUAAAUGGACAAGGAGAAGGAGAGAGUUUGUUAUUUCUGAGAAUAAUCGAGCAAUUAGACUGUAUUAUUGGUGGCUCAUUGAGGUGGUUGUAUCUGUGGGAUGUACUGAGCUGUUAGGCUCUUCCAUUGGUGGCUCAUUGAGGUGGUUGUAUCUGUGGGAUGUACUGAGCUGUUAGGCUCUUCCGUUGGUGGCUCAUUGAGGUGGUUGUAUCUGUGGGAUGUACUGAGCUGUCAGGCUCUUCCGUUGGUGGUUCAUUCAGGUGGUUGUAUCAGUAAGAAGCUGCAUGUAUUGCUUAUGCUGUCCAUCUUUGUGACUGGACAUGAGCACACAUUUGGGUGGACAGUCAUUCCCACCUGAUUUAUUGCGGUUCUGCUUUUUGUCUAGUUUGCUUGACUCAAUGCUGCAGUUUUCUGAUAGGGGACUUAAACAAAGUGUAAAAGCAUCAUUGAUGGGCUUGGCCUCUGAACAUGGGUUCUGACAAUCCAGGAAAAUAACCUUGUUUACAGGGCUCUGGGCAGGCUGUGUGGGUGACUGAGAAACCUGCCCUGCAGCAUGCAGAGACCUUUCCUUGGAUACCUGCAGCUGGGAAUAUAGGCUCAGUGACUGAGAAUGCGCAGUAGGCUUCUCGGUGCUCCUCCAGUCUCCACAUUGAUUAAUGAUGUUAAUUGUUGAUAAUGCCACUGAAAAGAAUGAUGAUAAUGAAUACAAUUAUGAGAGCUGAAAAGCUGCCAAGUCGAGGCACUGCAGUGCCUCCUUCAGACUAAAUGCAUCCCUGCAGAAUGUGUAUCUAUAUCUGUAGGGUUUUGAUUACGCUGCCUGGCAUCCUGCGUAUCUCAUUCUCUAGGGAGAAAAAUGUAUUGUGGCUCCAGAUUUUGCUGUUUCAGUUUUGCAGUUGAUAAUAACCAGUGUAGAUCAAUGAACGAGCUCGGUUCUAACUGUACUGAGAACACACUGUAGAAGCUGCAGCAGCCCCAUUCCCAUUGGCUACAAAACUACAUCUGACCAGCGCAGAUUAGAAUAGCAAAUAUUUGGCGCCCAAGCGCUGUAUAUUUUGUCAGCCCUUUUGGAUUUUGUCAGAUUUGUGAUGAAAGAUGCGUGGACUUUUUUUUUGGCUAGGAAUUGUUUGCUGUGUACUUUUAAGCUAAAAUAGAACUUUACGGAUUUCCAGCAGGGGAUUUUUGUUGUCCAGAUGCAUUACAAAGAUAAAUCCCAAUAUAAGAGUCAGUGGAAGUAAAUGAAUAAAUUGAAACAAAUGACAUUGAAAUAAAGUUACGUUAUGGGCAUGUCACAUACAGACUGUACAGUCAUUUGGAUGAUAAAUGUGCAUAGAUCUGUGCACAAUUCAUAUGGUCACAGAUGAAUUAGUGCCAAAUUCAGAGUAAGUAUGCAGUAUUGCUGUUGUUCCACUUGGGAAGUAACUGAGAGUAACUGAGAGUAAGUGAAAUUUCCUGGAAGACUAAAUUACUUUGCUUUAUUGAUCUGUUUGCUCAUCUGGGAAUCUGCCUACCGAUGCCUUUUUAUUUCUCUGUGGAAGCCGUUACAUAAAUGCAUAAAGGCAGAUGAAAAAGGCAAUUAAUAGGUGGAAAGGAUAUAGAAGUGUUUCAUGAAAUGGUGCCUGAGAGCCUGGCCGGCAGAAUUAGGGAAACACAGGAGAAGAUGUCGUAUAUAGUGAAAUAAUCUUCCCGUAAAACUGGGUCAGAGGAAUAGGAGAAAAAAUACUUCUGUGCAGAUUAAGGAAAGCGUGCAUUGUAGCCUGUGCUGAAGAUACGAACGGAGAAGCUCAGUGCCCCAACUGGGGCUUUGUAGGUACUGCGUGUUCCCCAUGUUCGGAAACGUGGUUGACACUGGUUUGGGUGAUAGGUGUAUGGGCGUUACCGGAUUUUGUUGUGUAUUCUUAAAAUACCAUGAACCACCAAAGAGCUCUCCAGAGAAACAGAUUAAACAUACUCCAUGACAUGUAAUGAGAAUGAACAACCGUGAGAACAUCAUGUUCGCCCAUCGAAUGCCUCAGCCUGAAAGCUUCAAGACUAAAUUAAUAUCUAAUAUAUCUCCAAUUAUGGAGUACUAAAAGCAUUUAAUGGAGUUCGACUUAAUUGGGUUCUUGUUAAUUUCCUCUGUUAAUAGCUGUUUGUGCCAAGACUGAUUAAGGAGCCUAGCUUGCAACUGCAGUGCAGUUAAGCUGCUUUUUAACUCUGGAGUUCAGAGUAUUUGGGUUCUGCGAGGCAAUGUGAACAGCUGCCCUUUGGGGUCUGGGCUUCCUAGCUGCCAGUGAACUGGCAGUGCAGAUAAGCAGUGUGCCGAAAUACUGAGGCCAGUCUGCAGUGAAGAUGACUGAUGUGAUGUGGUCUGGUGUUACCCUCCUAUACAAUCCCUUUGCCCUGGUACGGCCGGCUAUCUGCAUCGAUGCUCAAGCACGGCGUGUGUCUGCCCACGUCGACUCUU